AGCGACGUUCGCCGAGAGGGUAAGUAGACAAAACUCAUUUCCAAAUUCACAAUUAAACCGAACUAAUGUGCAUGCGUGCGUGUUAAUUGUGUCAUUUCUGUUCACAGGUGCAAAUCUUCAAAUGGACUAACACGGGCCACUCGCUGCUUUGCAUCUGCUACAGAAUGGCCGAAUUGACUGCAACACGGCUCACGUCGACAGAACGACCCAUAAAAUGGCUGCCAUCCUGUGGAGUUUUGGGCCCUGGCUUCACGAGGCUAUGGCAGGUCUUUGACAUGUC